rnacentral:rRNA from 1 species
GACGAACCGAGCGAACGUUGUUCGGAAUCACUGGGCUUAAAGGGCGCGUAGGCGGGCCAUAAAGUCAGGGGUGAAAUCCUCCAGCUUAACUGGAGAACUGCCUUUGAUACUGACUGGCUGGAGGGAGAUAGGGGUUGCGGGAACUACCAGUGGAGCGGUGAAAUGCGUUGAUAUUGGUAGGAACGCCGGUGGCGAAAGCGCGCAACUGGAUCUCUUCUGACGCUGAGUGCGCGAAAGCUAGGGGAGCAAACGGG